GUAAUGCAAGUUAGGAUAGAAAAGGAAUUAGGUACAACAUUUUGGACUCACCAAGAUAGGACAGAUAAGGAACAUUUUCCCUGAAUUUGCCAAUUGAUAAUGGGGUAGACAAUUUUGAUGCAUUUAUUGACUAUAUUAUAUAUAGUUAUUGUUCUUAUUGUAUAUAGUUUUUAUAUUAGCUAUAACCGUUUUUAUUUUAGAAAAAAGGGGGAAUGUGAUGUAUCUUGUUUAUAUUCUAACGAAUAAAGCUUGCCUGAAGAUCAGAGGGCAGAGCUAGCCACUAGUUAGCCAUAGAGGUCUGGAGGUCUGUACAGACAAACAGGAAGUAGAAAUGGCUGGGCGGAGAGAGAAAUAUUAGGCAGGAGGAGACAGGAGCUUGAUCUCUUUUCAGUCUGAGGAUUUUUGUAGAGGUAAGAUCUCUAGCGGCUGGCUGCUCUGCUUCUCUGAUCUUUCAACUUUCACCCCCUAGUAUCUGACUCUGGGCUUUUAUUACUAAGAUCUAUAGAACUCGUGCUUGUCUGUCUCAGUAAGCCUUCUGUUACUGUGACAUAAUGCCCAGGAGAAAUCAGCUUAAGGGAGGAAGGUUUGGAGUGUGCUUCCAGAUGUUUCAGGCCAUGGACACCUGGCUCUGCUGCUCCUGGCCUGUGGUGCGUCAUGUGGACAGCAGGCAGCAGAGCAAGGUGACCCUCCCAGUGGCAAACAGAAGGCAGAGAGAGGAAGAGGUUUGGGAACAUGUCCUUCAAAGCACACACUUAGUGGCUUUUUCCUCCAAACAACCCCACCUUUUGAUAAGCAUCUGGCUGUGAACUCCCUCAUCCCUGAGGUCAGCACCAUCACACCCUAUUGGCCCUCUGAAGAGACCCCAGUGGAGCUAGGCCUUCAGCAACUGCCCAACCGUGAUACUCUCACUACAGAUGCUUCAUUUCUUUUGGGCUCCCAGGAAGAGGAACUUUGUUAAGAUACAAGAGCUAUGUGUCCUGUAAGAUGGUGACCUGUUAUGGGAACAAAUCAAUCCUACCUAUCUGGAGAGGGAUGACCAAGUUCAGUCUCAAGAGGAGUUGACAAUAGGUCUAAAAUUCUCCCCAGACAUUUUUUUUAUUUUGGUUUUUUGAGACCUGAGAAGUCAGUGAAGGGAUGUGCGGCCGCAGAGGAAGGAGAUUCAGAGUGUUCAGCGAGGUCCCUAACACCCACUCUAUGGGGAAAGAAGAUGUCUCUACAGGAAAGGAAUGCAAAGAGUUGCUUGGCUCUGCAGCCUGGGCUUGAUGUCCACAACGUCUCUCCUGCCUGCACCCAGGACCACAUUACUUCUCUGUUGUUGCAAUAAAUACCCUAACCCAACUCGCAGAAGAAAGCAUUUAUUUUGGCUUAUAGUUCCAGAGAGUUAAAGUCCAUAAUGGCAAGGCAGAGGCAGCAAGCAGCAGAGAACGCACUGGAUAUGGGAGAGCUUUGAAACCUCCAAGUCCACCCCCAGCAACAAACUUUCUCCAGCAAGGCUGAACCUCCUAGACUUCUACAAACUGAGGCACAGGUAUUCAAAUGCCAGAGCCUGUGGGGGACAUUUUCAUCCAAACCUCUACAAGGACCCAGUGGACUCAGCCCUUGGCCCAGACAAAGCCAGUGAACUGAACCUGAAAGGAAAAACAAGGAAGUUGAUUGCAUCCAGCAAGGAAAGGGAGUAAAAAUGAGGAAGGUUGGUUGACUGCAUGCGAUAAGGAAGAGGAGUAAAAUAAGGAAGACUUAUCGCAUGAAACAAGGAUGGUUCCCAGAGAGGAGGAGCAAGGGGUUUCUCGGAAGACCCCUCAUCUCCUCAUGGUGUCACACAAGAGGCUGACACACAGCUGUAUGUGGUUCUUAGGAUGAAAGCAGACUUCUUCACACAUGCUAUGCUCCAAGACUGAGCAGAGAACUUAGCAUUAUAAUGAGGUGGCCAAGACAGCUUAUACUAGGUCACCUGCAAGUGGGGAACUCCAGUUUAGGCUGGUUUAAUCUGGUUCCUUGUAGUCUUCUCUUCAGCGUCAUAUUUGAAGCAAACCACUGGCCCUACAGGAGACUCAGACACAGGACCUCCUCCUACACCCGGUCUCCUCCCACUUGCUUGUCUCUGCAAGGAACUUCCUCAUGCUUAGCUUCUUGGCCUGUUCUGAAGGCGGUUAAGACAAGAAAGAGGGAGAGGUAGUAGUGCUCUGAGGAGGGGGUAGCUUCAGCUCUUUGAAGUCGGGGAAGGAACCAGCUUCUGUCACAGGACAGCCUGUGUAGAUGCAAACAGACAGAUGAUGCAGCAUUAAGGAAACAAAGAAUCUUGUGUCCCACAGGCUGGAGAACAGAGGGCUGGAGGGUUGAUCCAGUACACAGAGGUCUGAAUCUGUCUGGGAUCUUUUCUCUGCUGUGGCCUCCAGGUCAGCAUUAUUUUCAGGGGAGAAGGAGGAAGAGGAAAAAGAAAAAAGUUACCCCAUAGACCAGGGCUCUUGUUGCCCUCAGGGGCAUGACUCUAUGCAGAUGCUGAGGUAUCAGCCUGGAUGGACGAGACUAGGACUACCUUCUACAGUCCUGACUCUUACUCCACCCCUGCAGGUGUCCUCCAGAUAAGCUACAGUCACACAGCCUCGAGUUUCCUUGUCUGUAAAGUGACAACACACAGAUCCUUCUCUGACUUCGAAGAGGAAAGGCUUGAAGCUCAGGGGCUACAACUCAUGCUCACACACUGGACUCAGACAAGCCAAGGGGUACCUGCUGCCAGCCCUGUGUUCCUCUUCUACAAAAGAGGGAGACAUUCUGAAGAGAAUCUGUAUCCGAGGUACCCUACAGGGAUGCAGACUCCAAUGCCAAGAGUCAGGGAGGUUAUGAGUCUAUCUGUGGGGAUGGGGGGGGGCACAGCUGCACAUCCCAGUUGUAGUUACUGUCUCCAGAACUCUGUGGAUUAAGUAUGACCUCCCUGAAGUCUCACACCCAGAGCUUUUUGAAUACCUCUUGAUCUGGGUUUGGCCUUGUAACUUGGCCUGUGGCUGUGACAGAUGUUCCCUCUGUAAGAUUGGGAUCCAGUAGUCAUGCAAAGUUGGAGCUAACCACUGGAAAGGAUACCUAGAGGUAAACUUAGGUCCAAGCCAGCUGCCAGCUUGUCAGGGGAAUAGACAACAACAGCCCUCCGACCCAGGGUCCUACCCUCUUGUGUCCACCAAGUCUACCAAGACUAUGGGAAGCAGAACGGGCCGGGUCAGUCAAACCCUGCCAAGCCCUGGAGGCAAGUGGCCAACACUCAUUAUUUGAAAACAACAACCACCCUCUCAAAACAAAGCCAUUGGACAUUUUGUCUAUUUAUUUUUGUGUUAUGUGUAUGCGUGUUCUGCCUGCUGGUAUGUCUGUGCACCAUGUGCAUGCAGUACACACAGAGGCCAGAAGAGGGCUCCGGAUUCCCCGAAAUUGGAGUUUUAGACCGCUUCCAACUGUCAUGAGGGUGCCAGGAACCAAACUGGGCUCCUCUGCUGAGCCAUCUCUCCCACUCUGGCCCUUGGCUAUUUUUUCCUAGCCUAACUUUUUAAUUGAUGCUUUGUGGACUUUACAUUAUGCAUCUCAAUCCCACUCAUCUCUUUGCAUCCACCCUCUGCCCUUGCAACCUCCUCCCCCACCCCCAAGAUAAAACAAAAUAAAAUUUAAAAGAAAGAAGAAAAAAGAUCUCCUGGUGAAAGCUGUAGUGAGACACAGUGAGUUACACAGUAUGCCUUUUUAGUCCAUACAUCUUUACUUGCAAGUGUUCACUGCAGUGACCCUGUUGACGGGGGGUGGGGGUGCUGUCCCACAGGUGAGUAGUCCUGAGAACAUGGACAUGAGAGAUCUAGGUCCUCCCCUCACCUGCUAUAGGGUGGCAUGGGCAAGGGAGAGAAGCCCCCUUACCUCCUGCUGCCUGUGACAGGAUGGAGUGCAAGAGCUGGCCCUGCUUCUCACUGCUGGGAUUCUUGGGAGAGCGGCCCCUGCACGUUGAUUGGGAAACUCAGUA